rnacentral:rRNA from 1 species
CUGGAGUCUGCAACCCGACUCCACGAAGUUGGAUUCGCUAGUAAUCGCGCAUCAGCCAUGGCGCGGUGAAUACGUUCCCGGGCCUUGUACACACCGCCCGUCAAGCCAUGGGAGCCGGGGGCGCCUGAAGUCCGGGACCGCGAGGACCGGCCUAGGGCGAAACUGGUGACUGGGGCUAAGUCGUAACAAGGUAGC